rnacentral:rRNA from 1 species
AGGGANCAUUACAGAGUUAAACUAAACUCCAAACCCUAUGUGAACCUNACCUCCAGUUGCCUCGGCGCUCGCUGCGGCUACCCUGUAGCCCGCCCUGUAAAACGGGCGGCUACCCUGUAGCCGGCUCACGGCCCGCCGGAGGACCCCUAAACUCUGUUUAAAAUAGUGUAUUUCUGAAUGCUCCAAACAAAAAUAAGUUAAAACUUUCAACAACGGAUCUCUUGGUUCUGGCAUCGAUGAAGAACGCAGCGAAAUGCGAUAAGUAAUGUGAAUUGCAGAAUUCAGUGAAUCAUCGAAUCUUUGAACGCACAUUGCGCCCAUUAGUAUUCUAGUGGGCAUGCCUAUUCGAGCGUCAUUUCGACCAUUAAGCCCUGUAGCUUAGCGUUGGGAGCCUACGGUUAUAGCGUAGCUCCUCAAAGUCAGUGGCGGAGUUAUGGCGUACUCUGAGCGUAGUAAAUCUUUUCUCGCUUCUGCAGUCGCCCUAGCUGCCUGCCGUAAAACCCCCUAUAUUUCUAGUGGUUGACCUCGGAUUAGGUAGGAAUACCCGCUGAACUUAAGCAUAUCAAUAAGCGGAGGAAAAGAAACCAACAGGGAUUGCCCUAGUAACGGCGAGUGAAGCGGCAACAGCUCAAAUUUGAAAUCUGGCCCUAGCGGUCCGAGUUGUAAUUUGCAGAGGAUGCUUUUGGUGCGGUGCCUUCCGAGUUCCCUGGAACGGGACGCCGGAGAGGGUGAGAGCCCCGUACGGUUGGACACCUACCCUAUACAUAGCUCCUUCGACGAGUCGAGUAGUUUGGGAAUGCUGCUCUAAAUGGGAGGUAAAUUUCUUCUAAAGCUAAAUACCGGCCAGAGACCGAUAGCGCACAAGUAGAGUGAUCGAAAGAUGAAAAGCACUUUGAAAAGAGGGUUAAAUAGCACGUGAAAUUGUUGAAAGGGAAGCGUUUGCGACCAGACCUUUUCCAGGCGGAUCAUCCGGCGUUCUCGCCGGUGCACUCCGCCUGGUCUAGGCCAGCAUCGGUUUCCUUAGGGGGAUAAAGGCCUGGGGAACGUAGCUCNNCAGGGAGUGUUAUAGCCCCUAGCGUAAUACCCUUCAGGGGACCGAGGACCGC